GUCUAUCGUAGAAGUUUUUUUCAGAAUAACAAGAAUUCAUUAGUACAAUAUGAAAAAAUCUACUAUUUUAUUUGUAUUUUUUAUUAUGAUGGAAUUAGCAUUAGUCACACAAGGUCGACCAUAUCCAAGUGAGAAAAAUGAGGACACAAAAAAGUUGCUAAGU